UUCUUCGAAAAUGCUUCUGUUAUCCUCAUGACUAAUUAAUUUGAACAUGAGUUUUAUAAAAGAAAGCCCUUUUAUAUUUCGACACUUAAUGAAGUAGAUGUCUCAAAACAUAAGUGAACAUCCUGUUGACUUUUUCCAACUUAAGCUUCCUUACGCGGUAAUAUAGAGGAUGCAAGCGUUAUCCGGAAUGAUUGGGCGUAAAGCGUCUGUAGGUGGCUUUUUAAGUCCGCCGUCAAAUCCCAGGGCUCAACCCUGGACAGGCGGUGGAAACUACCAAGCUGGAGUACGGUAGGGGCAGAGGGAAUUUCCGGUGGAGCGGUGAAAUGCGUAGAGAUCGGAAAGAACACCAACNAAGACGAAAGCUAGGGGAGCAAAUGGGAUUAGAUACCCAGUAGUCCUAGCCGUAAACGAUGGAUACUAGGCGUUGUGCGUAUCGACCCGUGUAGUGCUGUAGCUAACGCGUUAAGUAUCCCGCCUGGGGAGUAGGUUCGCAAGAAUGAAACUCAAAGGAAUUGAUGGAAGAAAGAGACUAAGUGUCUCAAACCUUACCAAAAUCGUUUUGGAUUCGAUCUGACCACCCUUAUA
rnacentral:ncRNA from 1 species